AGCUGUUAGAUAUGCAACAAGUAUCCAAACAUUGAAACAAAUACACUCAAUGACCAUGUUACAGCAAUUCAAAAGGGUUGGUCUUCUUUUAUCACUGUGAAUCAAAUUUGUUCUUUUCACACACAAAUUUUUCGCUUCACGAAUAAUGCCACAUCAUAUGGAUUAUGGGUAUUGCCCAUUCGGGCACUGUUUAUGAAGUAGUCAGGGAUACCCCUUCACAGCAAUGAGUUCUGAGCCACGGAUGUAUGGAACCAAGCAUUAUGUAUAGCACAUACAAAGGCAAUUCAAAUUGGACCCAGAAUUUACAUUGUUUAUCGAUGUCUCCGAAGGCUACAAAUAUUAUACCCUGCAGGAAUAGGACAACUGUGUACACAGAAGGAAGUACAUCAAGAAAACUGCAUGCCACAAAGCAGGUUACGGUGCUGUGUCAAGAAACCAAAAUACUACCAAUAAUUCAGUGAAGCCUGCUAUUUUCUUCAUCACCCAUGGAAGGGAAGAUGGCAGGUAUCUCCUAAACUCCUGAAUAAUUGAACUUUACUGUUUAACACAGACAAUUGUA